AUUGAACGCUGGCGGCAUGCCUUACACAUGCAAGUCGAACGGUAACGGGCCUUCGGGUGCCGACGAGUGGCGAACGGGUGAGUAAUGUAUCGGAACGUACCUUUCAGUGGGGGAUAACGUAGCGAAAGUUACGCUAAUACCGCAUAUUCUGUGCGCAGGAAAGCAGGGGAUCGCAAGACCUUGCGCUGAUUGAGCGGCCGAUAUCAGAUUAGCUAGUUGGUGAGGUAAAGGCUCACCGAGGCGACGAUCUGUAGCGGGUCUGAGAGGAUGAUCCGCCACACUGGAACUGAGACACGGUCCAGACUCCUACGGGAGGCAGCAGUGGGGAAUUUUGGACAAUGGGGGCAACCCUGAUCCAGCCAUGCCGCGUGAGUGGAGAAGGCCUUCGGGUUGUAAAGCUCUUUCGGCCGGGAAGAAAUCGUAUCAGCUAAUACCUGGUGCGGAUGACGGUACCGGCAUAAGAAGCACCGGCUAACUACGUGCCAGCAGCCGCGGUAAAAC
rnacentral:rRNA from 1 species